AGAUGCUGAAGACUGAGGAGGCACAGAAUUCAAGUUCUCCUCCUCCUCUUUCUCUCCAGGACCAGGAAAAGGAGGUAGACGGUCAACACACAGAUGAGGCAGCUGAAAGCCCGACUCCAGCUGAGAGUGACGUAACAGUAGAGGGGACCGUGAUCUCACAAGAGGAACAUGGAAAUCCUCUUCCUGACAUGGAAGACCAGAUGGAGAAGGAAGAACAUGAAGCAGACCAUACAUGAUCAAGUCAGUGUUUGACAGCCCAUCAUCCACUAAUCCAGCUUCUACAUAUGUUUUAAAAAGUACAGUUUCAGUGCACUGGGUGUACAGUACAUGUACUGUAGCGCAGUGAAUGUACAAAUAUACAAGUGUUAUUUAAGAAAUAAACAUUAUUCAUUGAU